rnacentral:sRNA from 1 species
UUGAAAGAAAGGUAACGCUUACAGACCC